rnacentral:tRNA from 1 species
GCCUGGCUGGCUCAGUCAGUAAAGCAUAUGACUCUUGAUCUUGGGAUUGUGAGUUCAAGCCCCAUGAUGGGUG